UACGUAGGGAGCAAGCGUUGUUCGGAUUUACUGGGCGUAAAGGGCGCGUAGGCGGCGCGGUAAGUCACUUGUGAAAUCUCUGAGCUUAACUCAGAACGGCCAAGUGAUACUGCAGUGCUAGAGUGCAGAAGGGGCAAUCGGAAUUCUUGGUGUAGCGGUGAAAUGCGUAGAUAUCAAGAGGAACACCUGAGGUGAAGACGGGUUGCUGGGCUGACACUGACGCUGAGGAGCGAAAGCGUGGGGAGCGAACAGG
rnacentral:rRNA from 1 species